UACGUAGGGGGCAAGCGUUAUCCGGAUUUACUGGGUGUAAAGGGAGCGUAGACGGGCGGGCAAGUCUGAAGUGAAAGGCAGGGGCUCAACCCCUGGACUGCUUUGGAAACUGUCCAUCUAGAGUGCCGGAGAGGUAAGCGGAAUUCCUAGUGUAGCGGUGAAAUGCGUAGAUAUUAGGAGGAACACCAGUGGCGAAGGCGGCUUACUGGACGGUAACUGACGUUGAGGCUCGAAAGCGUGGGGAGCAAACAGG
rnacentral:rRNA from 1 species